AUUGAACGCUAGCGGCAGGCUUAACACAUGCAAGUCGAACGAGCGGCGGACGGGUGAGUAAUGUCUGGGAACCUGCCCGAUGGAGGGGGAUAACUACUCGAAACGGUAGCUAAUACCGCAUACCAUCAGAUGUGCCCAGAUGGGAUUAGCUAGUAGGUGGGGUAAUGGCUCACCAAGGCGACGAUCCCUAGCUGGUCUGAGAGGAUGACCAGCCACACUGGAACUGAGACACGGUCCAGACUCCUACGGGAGGCAGCAGUGGGGAAUAUUGCACAAUGGGCGCAAGCCUGAUGCAGCCAUGCCGCGUGUAUGAAGAAGGCCUUCGGGUUGUAAAGCACUUUCAGCGGGGAGGCGUUACUCGCAGAAGAAGCACCGGCUAACUCCGUGCCAGCAGCCGCGGUAAUAC
rnacentral:rRNA from 1 species